GCCCCCAUGGCUCAGUGGAUAGAGCGGCGGUUUCCUAAACCGUAGGUCGCAGGUUCGAGUCCUGCUGGGGGCGCCA
rnacentral:tRNA from 1 species